UGUGUUAAAUCUGGUGCUGAGGUGUUGCGAUUCUCCAAGGAGACACAAACAACAAAAAGCAGCCCAGACACCCCUGCUGUUUCUAAGCUUCGGCUAUUACCAUUAACUCUUGUUUACUCUUCUUCCUGCAACACCACCAGCCACACAUGUUGAUGAUCAUGAGAGACAGAACAUCAAAGCCUGAUUUAUUCAUUUAUUAAAGGAAGUUGAGGUGCCUUGCAAUGGGAGGCUGACGUGAACACACAUACUGUUGUUAUUCUCUGUGAAAACCAAAAGCACCGACCGAAUGCUUAACCAGUGAUUUUCACUAAACAGGAGGGCUGAAGCAGGAGUGGAGUAUAUCUAUUAACUUAUUGAAGACAACGAGAUGCCGAGGACCAGAGUGGUAUGUACUAAUUCGGCAGUACGUCCAACCGGCUUCACAACCGCAGACUACGUGUAACCACACCAGCCCAGGACCUCCACAUCCGGCUUCUUCACCUGCGGGAUGAUCUGAGACCAGCCACCUGGACAGCUGAUGAAACUGAGUAGUAUUUCUGUCUGUAAUAAAGCCCUUUUAAGGUGAAAAACUCAUUCUAUUAGGCUGGGCCUGGCGCCCAUGCCCAGUCAUGUGAUAUCCAUAGAUGAAGGCCUAAUAAAUGUAUUUUAAUUGACGGAUGUCCUUAUAUGAACUGUAACUCAGUAAAAUCGUUGCAUGUAUUGUUGCAUGUUGCGUUUAUAUUUUUGUUCAGUAUAGAUUUGUGGCGUGGAGAGGUUGGGGUGUUGAAAUAAACAAAUACAUACCUAACAAAUAAUUUAUCUUGUGCAAAAUUCCAUUAUGGAACAUAUUCCUUCAAUGCAAUUGCUCAGAAAGACAUUUUAUAAUACUUUUUUUUUCCAAAAAAAAUAUAGGGUCUGAAAUUGCCACCUUUUUUUUCAAUAGCCUUCAAUACCUCACCUUGCGAGGAUAAUGGUAAUGAUACUUUUUCUAUAAUGUUUUAUGAGUUGGAGAACAAUGGGAGGGAUCUUAGACCAUUCCUCCAUACAGAAUCUUUCCAGAUCCUUGAUAUCCUUCGUCUGCGCAUAUGGACUGCCCUCUUAAAUUCAAACCAGAGGUUUUUAAUGGGGUUUACGUACAGAGACUGAGAUGGCCAUUGCAAAAUGUACAUUUUGUGGUCAAUUAACCAUUUCUUUAUGGAUUAUAGUGUUCUUGGGGUUAUUGUCUUCCUGGAGGAUAAAACAUUUUUUGGUUUAAGUGUCUUGCUCAUGAGCACAUAGACAGAUUUUCACUUUGUCGGCUUGGGUAUUCCAACCAGCGACCUUUCAGUUACUGGGCCAACGCGCUAAACACUAGGCCUCCUAACAAGGUUUGUGGCAAAAAUGUCCUGUUACUGGAUAAAGUUAAUGAUGUUGUUGACCUUAACAAUAUAAAAUGUAUUUAUAUAGCCCUUCUUAUAUCAGCUGAUGUCACAAAGUGCUGUACAGAAACCCAGCCUAAAACCCCAGACAGCAAGCAAUGCAGGUGUAGAAGCACGGUGGCUAGGAAAAACUCCCUAGAAAGGCCAGAACCUAG
rnacentral:lncRNA from 1 species